rnacentral:lncRNA from 1 species
UUUUUUUUUUUUUUUUUUUUUUUUUUUGUCUUUUUAGCUACUUCUUGGGCCGCUCCUGCGGCAUAUGGAGGUUCCCAGGCUAGGGGUCGAAUCGAAGCUGUAGCCACUGACAUACGCCAGAGCCACAGCAAUGCGGGAUCCGAGCUGUGCCUGCAACCUACACCACAGCUCACGGCAACGCCGGAUUGUCAACCCACUGAACAAGGGCAGGGACCGAACCCGCAGCCUCAUGGUUCCUAGUCGGAUUCGUUAACCACUGCGCCACGACGGGAACUCCAUAUUAGCCUUUUUAAAGUUGUCUUUUCAACUCGCAUUGCCUAUUUCCUUUGGGUCUACUUUACUUGUGUUUAAGGCCCUGUCUUUCAGGUUAGCAGUGUUCCCCACAUGUCUGAGGAUCUUUGGCUGUCCUUCCAUACUGAGCCACCAGUAAGGGGCUAAAAUAUUUAAAGGAGGCUCUGAGUGAGGAGGGGUAGGUGGGAAGGCUUGGCUCAAGAUGAGGUUCUUUGUGGGGUAGUCAGAUCCGGACCAGCCAUUUCACUGGGGAACUCCACAAAUGUUGAUAUCUAUAGAUGUUUUAUCUUUUGCUGGUCAAUGUUCCCCAAGAAGGAUCCUGAGAGACAAGCUGGCACUGGGCAGGGAGUGGGAUUCUUCAUCCAGAAUGCAGAAUUUCACAGACUCCCUUGCUUUCAAUACAACACCUUCCCCAGGCCACACCUGGGCGGAGGUGGGGGGGGGAUGUCCAGUGACCCAGGUGUCACCAAGAUGCAUUGUCUCUAUUGUUCAGCCUUUCUAUAAGGUGACCCUCUCAUCAUCUGCAGGCACUGGGGAGGGAGAGGUGCAGGGUAGUGGAAAUCUUGGGGGAUUCCAGCUGCUCUUUUUAAAGUUUUUGAACUAGUUUUUCUCUCCCCAGCUCCACCUUAUACCACUGACUCUGAUUCAUGAGCCUUCCUAGAGUGCUGUGCUGUGAACUGGACUUUUUUUUUCUUUUUUAAAUCCAGGUAGAGCUGACAAUCUUAUAUAAGUGACAGGUAUAUAACACAGUGAGUCACAACUUUUUAAAAGUUAUUAUUAUUUUUUUUAGGGCUGCACCCACAGCAUAUGGAAGUUUUCAGCCUAGAAGUUGAAUCGGAGCUGUAGCUGCCAACCUACAGACAGCCACAGCAACGCCAGAUCCGAGCUGCGUCUGUGACCUACACCACAGCUCAUGGCAAUGCCGUAUCCCUAACCCACUGAGGGAAACCAGGAAUCGAAUCCAAGUCCUCAUGGAUCCUCAUCAGGUUUGUUACUGCUGAGCCAUGACAGGGGCUCCCCACAAUUUUUUUUUUUUUGGCUGCAUCUGCAGCAUGGCAAAGUUCCUGGGACAGGGAUCAAACCUAAGGCACAACAGCAACCCAAGCCACUGCAGGGAAAAUGCAGGAUCCUUAACCUACUGCGCCACAAGAAAAACCCAGCGAUUCACAGUUUUUAAAGUUUAUACUCCAUUUAUAGUUAUUGUAAAACUUUGGUUAUAUUCCCCGUGCUGUACAAUGUAUCCUUGUAGCUUUUUUUUUUUGGCUUUUUGCUAUUUCUUUGGGCCGCUCCCGCGGCAUAUGGAGGUUCCUAGGCUAGGGGUCGAAUCGGAGCUCCCUAGAAAAAGGAAAAAAGACAAAAUAAAUAAAUAAAUAAAUAAAAAUUAAAACAAAUCAAAGACUAAAUGGAAGAGUUCCUCUUGUAGCUCAGUGGGUUAAGGACCUGACGAAGUCUCUGCGAAGAUGCAGGUUCUAUCCCUGGCCUCACUCAGUGGGUUAAGUCUCCAGCCUUGUGGUGAGCUGUGGGGUAGUUCACAGAUGCAGCUCAGAUGUUGUGCCGCUGUGACCGUGGUGUACGCCUCAGCUGCAGCUCUAAUUCAACUCCUGGCCUGGGAACUUCCAUGUGUCGCAGGUAUGGCCGUAAAAAGAAAACAAAACAAAACAACUAAAUGGAGUGGAUCUGGAACUUGUCUCCCACUCCCUUGCUUGGUGCCCUGCAAAUAAACCCUUAUUUUACCACAAACACCCACUGUCAAACAUUUGGCUUUCUGUGGUCCCUUAGCUCUGUUACAAAUGCCUUCUUAAAUUUUGUACCUUGGGAGCCUCUGGUACUCUCCCUAGUUUCAACUCUGGCAGAAGUGAUAGCAUUUUCAUUAAAAAAACAAACAAAAAACGUUAAAUAUAUGCUUGCUUUUUGUCCUAAUUGCUAGGAAUUCAAUGCUAGGAAUUCUUAUUAUGGAAAUAAAUAAACAGGUUUCUAAACCACAUGUACAAAAUGAUCACUUUCUUGAAAAAGUUCCUAUGUAAAUAUAAGACUGGAAGGAUAUGCAUCUAAAUGAUGACAGAAGUUACAUUUGGGAGAUAAGGUUAUAGGUAGUUUUUUUUGCUGUUUUUUUUUUUUCUUCUAUUUUUUUCUUUUCUGAUCAUGGCCAUGCCCAUGCCAUAUGGAAAUUGCUGGGCCAGGUAUUGGACCCCUGCCACAGCAGUGACAAUGCUGGAUCCUUAACUGCUAGGUCACCAGGAAACUAUAAUAGGUGCUUUUUUUCCCCAUAAUUUAUUUUGUUUUGCAAAUUUUCUGUACUCUGCCAGUAAUAUUUUUACAGUUGAGAAAAAAAAAAAAA